rfam:Triticum aestivum genome assembly, contig: Triticum_aestivum_CS42_TGACv1_scaffold_404464_5BL
CUACUACUAGUACUACCUAUGAUAAAAUUGGAACGACACCGAGAAGAUUAGCAUUGCCCCUGUGCAAGGAUGACGCUCGAAAGAAACUUCUUUAUUUUUU